AAAAAACAGAGGCUGUGCUUAUUGCCUAGCAACCCAGCGAUUCUCCUUAUACUGCAACAGUUGCAUACGUAAUAGGAUCAUAAACCACCGCAGCACACAAUAUUCACUUGGAAAGAUGUCAAGGCCUAAAUACUUAGUGCAUCAGGUGGAGUAACUGAUGAUCGCCCUGCUCUGAUUUAAAGGAGGCUGGGAAAAGAGUUUCUCUUUCUCUCCCAGACUACCCAACUCUCCCGCAUAAGGUUCUAAGGUCCCUGAUUCUUUGUGGGGAUUUAUCUCCUUUCCUUUUAGGACUGAGGUCCAAGUAGUCUGUUUCUUUUUUUAAAAAUAAACAAUAUAAAAGAUGGAUGUAGCUGUAGAAGUCCCGAGCUAAAACUUCGAGGCAAGCGUCUUCACGUGGCCAGGAGAGGGUCUGACUGGGAACUAAUUGCUCAUUGGCUAACCACUCAUCAGUGAGCAUACCACGGACAAUCUUCCAGUUUGCAGCAUAGUAUGACCAAGAUUUGGAGUUCAGAUGCUAAUAGCUGCACUGCUAAUCCAGCUGCUGGCGAGUCUGGACCGGUGCCCGACUGCGCUCUGCCCUGCUCUGCAACAGCUGUGCCUUGCUCAGUCAUGCCAGUGAUAUGCUGGGGAUCUCAGACACAGCGGUCCGGCUGGUAAUGGUGACUGCAUGUUAAAAUGACCCUCAAAAGAAAGAAAAGGAGACCUCGAGACUACAAUCAAAGAUGUGUGCUGGACAAGAGGCGCAUGUGUAUCUUUCCAGUAGUAAUAGAGUCCAAGAUCCCAGGCUACAAACAGCACUGCCUUUUGGAAAGUCCUCAUAGGACACAAUAUUGGAAAAACUGUGGUCAUGCCCUCAAACAACAUUCGGUUAUUUUAACAAAGAAGAGCGUGAAUGUGACUGAAAGUCGGGAUUCACCAGUGAGACGCUGAUACAACAAAAUGUAUUGAGCUGUGGAUGUGAAUAAGCCUUGGCAGGCAAUUAUGGUCAUUACUGUCUCUUACAAUCUUUCAGAAAAAAGAAAUUUGCCAUUCUAUGGGAAGUAGGGAAUGUACUUAAGCUCCAGAGCGUUUGCUAUUUGUUGUGAAGUUGUUCCAACAGCUCUCCCAUCCAUUAGAGGGGGAAAAUCGGUUUGCCUAUAAUCUAAGUAUAACACUACUUAUCAAAAAUUUAAAGUGAAUUAAAACCUCCUCCUUUUCAAUAAAACAUCUGCCCAAAAGCACCAUCCCAUUAGUCAAAAGCAGGCAUGCAGCUACUUCAAAAUAAUUCUGCUAAUUUGGCUUGCACCUCUGGGUUCAAUUAUUGAUGAAUGAAGCCCACAAGAGCAGGGGUUGGAGUGGGACACCAAAGUGGAAUGAUCGGGGACAUGAGAGCACUUUUGAAAAGGGUGACGUGUACCUGUGCAGAGGUAUUGUCCUUCACCCUCUCGCUUCCAAUAUUUCACAAAUCACUUUCCCACCUAUUCCCUCUCAUCCACAGACAAUAAUGACAAGCUUUAUGGGGCCGAUAAGUGUUUUCUCUGAUUCCAACAAGUGUAUGUGUGCAUUAGGAGUACUUUAGCUGUAUGAUGGAUGGCAACAGCAGGGCAAAUGUCCUGUUAAUAGAUGAGUAUAUUGCAUCAAAAUCAACUCUGAAUCACAUUGAGCUACA